CGGUGUUCAACUGGCGUGUCCGCGGGACGUCCUGCCGGUGGGCUUAGCCCGCAAGGGCGGCCCAACUUCAAAUCCCAUCGCGGUGCUCUUCACUGAGUGUCGAGGUGGGCCGGCACGUUUGCUUUGAACAAAUUAGAGUGCUUAAAGCAGGCUAAAACUUCGCCUGAAUACUGUGUGCAUGGAAUAAUGGAAUAGGACCUCGGUUCUAUUUUGUUGGUUUUCGGAACCCCGAGGUAAUGAUUAAUAGGAACGGAUGGGGGCAUUCGUAUUGCGACGUUAGAGGUGAAAUUCUUGGAUCGUCGCAAGACGGACAGAAGCGAAAGCAUUUGCCAAAAACGCUUUCAUUGAUCAAGAACGAAAGUUAGAGGUUCGAAGGCGAUCAGAUACCGCCCUAGUUCUAACCAUAAACGAUGCCAGCUAGCGAUCCGUCGACGUUCCUCCGAUGACUCGACGGGCAGCUUCCGGGAAACCAAAGCUUUUGGGUUCCGGGGGAAGUAUGGUUGCAAAGCUGAAACUUAAAGGAAUUGACGGAAGGGCACCACCAGGAGUGGAGCCUGCGGCUUAAUUUGACUCAACACGGGAAACCUCACCAGGCCCGGACACCGGAAGGAUUGACAGAUUGAGAGCUCUUUCUUGAUUCGGUGGGUGGUGGUGCAUGGCCGUUCUUAGUUGGUGGAGCGAUUUGUCUGGUUAAUUCCGAUAACGAACGAGACUCUAGCCUGCUAACUAGGCGUAUUUUCGACAUCUCAAAGGUCCGUCGUCCCGGCCCUCGGGUCGUGGGCGUGCGCGAUUUUUACUGUCGGCGUACUAUCAAUUCUUCUUAGAGGGACAGGUGGCUUCUAGCCGCACGAGAUUGAGCAAUAACAGGUCUGUGAUG
rnacentral:rRNA from 1 species